GCAAGUCGAGCGGAUGACGGGAGCUUGCUCCUUGAUUCAGCGGCGGACGGGUGAGUAAUGCCUAGGAAUCUGCCUGGUAGUGGGGGACAACGUUUCGAAAGGAACGCUAAUACCGCAUACGUCCUACGGGAGAAAGCAGGGGACCUUUGGGCCUUGCGCUAUCAGAUGAGCCUAGGUCGGAUUAGCUAGUUGGUGGGGUAAUGGCUCACCAAGGCGACGAUCCGUAACUGGUCUGAGAGGAUGAUCAGUCACACUGGAACUGAGACACGGUCCAGACUCCUACGGGAGGCAGCAGUGGGGAAUAUUGGACAAUGGGCGAAAGCCUGAUCCAGCCAUGCCGCGUGUGUGAAGAAGGUCUUCGGAUUGUAAAGCACUUUAAGUUGGGAGGAAGGGCAGUAAGUUAAUACCUUGCUGUNUUGACGUUACCGACAGAAUAAGCACCGGCUAACUCUGUG
rnacentral:rRNA from 1 species